rnacentral:rRNA from 1 species
UUCCGGUUGAUCCUGCCGGACCUGACUGCUAUCGGAUUGAUACUAAGCCAUGCGAGUUUUUGUAGUAAUACAAGGCAGACGGCUCAGUAACACGUAGUCAAUCUAACCUAUGGGACGAGGAUAACCUCGGGAAACUGAGAAUAAUACUCGAUAGAUCAUUAUGCCUGGAACGGUUUAUGGUUCAAAUGAAUUUCGCCAUAGGAUGGGACUGCGGUCUAUCAGCUUGUUGGUGAGGUAAUGGCCCACCAAGGCUAUUACAGAUACGGGCUCUGAGAGGAGAAGCCCGGAGAUGGGUACUGAGACACGGACCCAGGCCCUAUGGGGCGCAGCAGGCGAGAAAACUUUGCAAUGUGCGAAAGCACGACAAGGUUAAUCCGAGUGAUUCCUGCUAAAGGAAUCUUUUGUUAGUCAUAAUACCACUAAUGAAUAAGGGGUGGGCAAGUUCUGGUGUCAGCCGCCGCGGUAAAACCAGCACCUCAAGUGGUCAGGAUGAUUAUUGGGCCUAAAGCAUCCGUAGCCGGCUCUGUAAGUUUUCGGUUAAAUCUGUACGCUUAACGUACAGGCUGCUGGGAAUACUGCAAGGCUAGGGAGUGGGAGAGGUAGACGGUACUCGGGAGGAAGUGGUAAAAUGCUUUGAUCUCUCGAUGACCACCUGUGGCGAAGGCGGUCUACCAGAACACGUCCGACGGUGAGGGAUGAAAGCUGGGGGAGCAAACCGGAUUAGAUACCCGGGUAGUCCCAGCUGUAAACUAUGCAAACUCAGUGAUGCACUGGCUUGUGGCCAGUGCAGUGUUGCAGGGAAGCCGUUAAGUUGCCGCCUGGGAAGUACGUACGCAAGUAUGAACUUAAAGGAAUUGGCGGGGGAGCAC